AGACAGGAAGCAUGAAGUCAGGCUCAUCAGUGUCAGAGCAGGGGAGACCAGCACAGACACCUUACAAGCAGAAUGACCUUCUGUAGCUACGGAGAAAGGCUUCAGGCAAAGAGAUGCAGCUCUGGGCCCCAGAGUCCACUGGAGCGCACUGAAGCUGGAGCACAUUGAAGUGGAAGAUGGGGCUGCAGGCAGAGACUGGGCAGCCUCCGCUCCAAGGAGGCUGGAGAGCCAGAGAGCAGAUUCCAUAAGAAGAAUAACUCCCACUCCUCAUGCAUGAGACCCUCUGCUAAAUGCUUCCCACGCACCACCUCCAGAAACCCUCCCAAACCAGGACCCCAGCAGUAUUACAGAUAAGAAAACGGAGGAUCCCAGAGAUUUGACAACCUGCCCACAGCAAUGACCAAACCAGACUUGGUGCUAGGUCUGCAUCUCCCCAAAGCCAGCGUGUUCGUGCGCUCUGCUGCCGCUGCUACCCACUGUCCCGCACAUGAUGUGAACUGCCAGGCUGACCGGGAGUUCUGUCUCCUGGGUGGGCUGUUUGCCAACACCAGGGUGGCUGGCCCCUGCCUGUGUCUGGUGCUGCAGUGUUGACUCUCUUCGUGUGAUGUUGAGCAGGUGGAGCUGGUUGUGCUGAGCCUGAGAAAACAUCCAGUGUGCCAAA